GUCCCUAUAGAUUAGUGGUUAGAUCACAACGUUGUGGCGAAUCAGGCCCGUUGAGACGGAAGUUCGAAUCCUCCUAGGGACA